UGUUCCUUUUCAAAUCAGCAAAAGGAAAGCAAGUGUCACUAAACAGUUCCAUUGCAGAUAAUAAGUUCCCCUGAGUAAACAAACAUGCCUUAGCAACUUGGUGCCCUCUGAGUAUUGGCCUAUGACUCUUGUCCCCUAUAUAGUCCCUAUAAUCCCUUGACCCCAUGAUUAGGACCUUGCUCAAUAAGGCUUGGAGGAGGAACUCAGCCCUUCUUCCUUGGCUGGGAGGAGAAUGUUUGCUAAGAGUGGGGAGAAUUAAUCACAGGGAGGUGAAAAGCUGGGUUGCCUUGGGGUGAAAAAUGUUUGGCAACAUAUUGCAAAGAUCUGUCGCUGCCCAAGAGUGAAUCCUGUGAGCAGGGAAGGAAUGCCAGCAACUGCUUUGCAUGUGACAGCUGCACAAGGAGAAUAUUGAAGUGUUUCCUGCUGAGGGGGAGACCUGAAGGAAUGUCCGUAGUUGGAGUGAUGCUUUGUUAAUUACUCGAUGGGCUUUCUGAAUCAAGUGCCUGUAAGAACUCUAAGGCCUGAAAAUACCUUUUUUUCUGAAAGGGAGAUGUCUCAGAUAGCCUGCCAAAAGGUAGACAAUCCUACAGAAGGAAAAUGAGGGCCAUUUGCAUUUCUAACCUCAUGAGAUAAAAGGCUGCCAGACUUUCUUUACAAUGCAUUUUAAAGGAUCUGCCCUUUGGAAUAGCACCUUCCUCCCAGAGAUUUGGAGCACCCUGAAUCUGCAAACCUUAGAAAUUUAAGCUAUCCCCAACAAAUACAGUAGCUAUCCAGCCUUUCCCUGAACACAUCCAAUUGAAGAGGACCCAGUGACUUCAGCAGGAGAAGGAUCUUGAUCUUUUUUGUGAUCCCUUUUCAAGCAUUUGUGAAGGAAUACCAUAUCCCCUCCUCACUUUUCUCUUCUUAAAGUCCUACAAGGCAUUGAAAUCUGGAUGCUCAAGUACUACUGGAAAAUGUUUUCCCACAGCUUCCCUGGCUUACUUCCUUAUUACAUGAUUUACCUAACUUCCUCCAUAGAGUUCAAGCUCACAGUGGCAUUAGAAAAAUCUCCCAGGAUGGCAUCAUCUGCACCCCUCAAGUCAAAGAUCUUUUGCACACCAGCUCUCCUCUCUUGAAUGUCAUCUGAAUACAAGAAUGUCUGGAUUAUAAUUUCACUGAAAGUGUACCAUGCUGAGUGCUGAAUGGUUGGCAAAACAGCAUCUACUACAGCCUUCUUUUACAGUCUGACUUGCUGCAGCUGGAAUAACACAUGAUGCGGGCCUUCAAUCCAGGAAUGUUUUACUUUGAUGUUGAACCAGCAAGGGUAGUAUACACCAACAAUAUGUUCCUCCAUCUUUCUUAAGUUUUGGAAAGUUUUGCCUUUAAAGCUAUGUUUUGAAACCCAUAUUCGACAAAGCCUAUUUGCAGUUGUCAACCAGCAUGAGUGGCAAAUGGGGCCAAUUUCCAGAAGAGCCAGAUCUGUGGGAAGUUCUGUUCUUAUUGCCCUUGUGAUCCUAUAUCCAUACACUUGAUUAGUAGAGAGAUCCUUUACAACACUGUUGCUCAGUAAAAUGAGAGGCUCACCAAUUAAAACUCUGAUGAAGGAAGGAACAAUGUCACGUUCUGUUGCAGUGUCUAGCACGUUGCCAAUUUUACCUGUCCAUUUGUUGUUAGACAAGGUCUUCCCAUUCCAUUUUGUGAUUAAGUUUUGUGGGGUAAUUCAUUUGUGUGGAGUACACAUUCCAACCAGAUCAACUUCCAGUCAAGCUUGAUCGCUACCCAGUGCCUGGCACCACCUUCACACUAGUUUUAACAUUUGUAGAAUCUCCUUCAAUGACCUUCAAGCUUUUGUCAAUGUUCUUCUUCUUCAUGAAAUACACCAGAUUAUCUGCAAUCACUUGAGCAGGUUUUCCUGUUUUUGAGCCUUUCUCUGGAGUGAAAUGAUAAAGAUAUCCUCCACCCAGCUCACUGCACACUGAAUAAUGUUCUUCUUAGAUGGUACUGGGGAAUUGCUGGUCUGAACUGUUUGCUUUUAGCAUAAUUUUAGUUGCAUUUAUAUGGCCGUUGAAGAAGAUGCAUUCUAUUUCGCCCUUCUUACAGAGCUCAUCAAAUUCUUGAUCUAAGGCCUUCAUAAUUUUUUCCUGGGUCUCUUGACUUUAUUGUGAUCAACUACAAGUCUCUUGUCCUCUUCGGUGAUCAAGCCAGCAUCUGUGAAGGCAGCUGUUCUAAUGGCAGCAGUGGCACAUAGACCAACACCCUAUCUUAUGCCCUGCAUAGCUACAUUUGUUAUUUCUAAUCUAUUGUAUUCUGUCUUUUCUUUUGAAAUAGAGGGCAAGUGUCAACAUCCAGCUCAAGAAUCCAAAUAAAACUCCAGGUUCAUUCUGUCUCCGAAAAUCUUACUGUUUAUUAAAUACACUGCAUGAUAAUAUUGAAGCAAAACUAAUUCUGAGGUUCCAACACCAAUUCAUAGACUUAAACAAUAAUUUUUCCAGACAAACCCCCAAAGUCUUAUGUGUUCAUAUAAACAAGUUCACUUUGUUAUGGGAACUAUUUGCUUCAAAUCCACACCUACUAUAGUGUCCUUGGAAAGGUUUUAGACUCUCAUAGUCUUCAGUGGAAUUGUAGAAGUUUCAUUUCUCCAUCUAACCCACUUGAAAGUAACACCUCCACCCCUUACUCUAAAGGCAAGUUGAAACACAAAGGCAUGUAGCUGCCAAAGUUUCAUCCUUGACAAUAUAUGUGUUUGGUCUAAGGCCUCUUCAUAACUUCCAUCACAUUCUUCUUCAUCUUCAUCAUCAGUCUGUCCUUCAUUUUCAUCAUAAGAGAUAAUUACUUCAUUUAUCAGUAUUGAAAUGUCUGGAAUACUUCUCUGUUUAUAUUUAGAGAGCCUUUGUCUCUCUCAUUGUCUUGUUGCUUUUGCCUUUUACCUAGUUGUUUCUGCUCGGGCACAUCUGGCAAACAAAUCUGGUGUGCUCCAAAAGAACUAGUCUUGUCUCUCUGACUUUUAAUAAAAUCAAGUUCCUUCAAUGGUAUCUUCGAAUCCUUAAGACAGGUACAGUUAAUGUGAGCUUCUUUUUUGCAGCCAGGAGGGCAGUUGAAUUCGGCACACAGAACAAUUUGACACUUGAAGUUGAGGAUGUCAAACAGUUUGUCAAGUUUCACAGUGAAAGUCUCUCGGACAUCUAGCUUUCCUCUACCAAGAGAUAUGUUUUUGGCUUGAUCCCAGGUCUCUUGGAUCUUGUUCAAGAUUGUCACUCAUGAAUUUACAAGAGGGGCCACAAAAGAACUGUUUGCUCGUUCCCACUUUUCAAGCACUUUGGGAUAUAGGUCUCUUGCAAGACUGGCUUCUGGAUAGUUUCUAGCAUCAUCAUUACUUUGUUUUCUUAAUAGGAGGCCAUAUCUGAGAAUGUCUCUCAGUGUUGGGAGUUUAAAUGGCAACAAGUCUCUGCCAGUCCCAAUUAGGUUGCUCAUAUGAAUGAACGUUCCCAGUCCUGUUCUUUUUUAAGAAACCAUUAUAGAUCAGUUAUCAUACUCACAGGAAACGAGGCUAGCAGUAUUAACACUCUCAGACAAAAUAAUGUUAACAAAAAGAUAAAGGCAGCUGAAUCUGUGAAAUGAAACAAACAAAAUGUUAAAAAGUUAUGAUAUUUACGUAGUUAUUUAACAAGCACAUCUAAAUUAUAUUAAAGUAACCGAAAUAUUUUUACAAUCCCCAAGUCGUGUCACAACUUUUGAGCACCCCUAAUGUUUAGAAAUUGAAAGUUGAAAAUUUUGACAUGCCCUAAUGCAGGGGUCCCCAACCCCUGGUCCGUGGACCAGUACUGGUCAAGCAACAUCCCAUCUGUGAAAUGCAAGCAGCACACAAAACCAUGCACCCUCCGGUCCACGGAAAAACCUCUCUCCAUGGAACUGGUCUCUGGUGCCCAAAAAGUUGGGGACCUCUGCCCUAAUAGACAGGGAAAAGAUUCAAUAACUUGACAGUCCAUCUCCCACCCACCACCCACCCCCUGGUAAAAACUCUACCUAUCCAGUUAGUUUUAUUGGCAGUUGUAGCGAAGUGGUAAUAUCCAGUUUUUCAUUACUAUGUUCAUGGAAACAUGGACAGGAGAGAUUUGAUCGGCAGAUGUAAAAAGCAGGCUAUUGGGCUGAUCAGUGCAGCCUUUCUUGGAACAUUUUUCAAAGCUGUUGCCAGCUUGCCUAUCAUGCUCCCUCCAGAUAUCCAUUUGCCUCACAUCAGGGAUUUAUGGAAUCAAGAAAAAUGUUAUUUUGCUAUUGGAAAAAAAAAGCAAUUGUUUUAGUUUGUGGAAUAGAAAUGUCAAUAUGUAAUAUGCUUCAUGCAUCGUACACAAAGCUAUACUUUUGAAAGUGGAGGGCAGAAGAAGCUGAAAUCAAUGUACCUGCUCAAAUACUCUACCUGAAGGCUUGCACAUGUACUGAAAUUCUGAGGCUUCAGGCUGGAACUACUGCUAAUGGAAUGGCAUAGUCUGAUGGUUGUAAGCUACUGUAGGUUCUGGAAAUUGUUCCGCAAUGAAACAGGAUGAUGAAAAAACUGGCAUUGAUUGACUCUUCUGCUUUGUAGUCAAUCUACUUCAAUUAGCUUUUGCCAGUCUGGGACCACUGGGGAUGAGCUGAGACACCACUCUAAUCA